UUGACACAAAACUAGCCAGUACACCACCC
rnacentral:piRNA from 1 species